rnacentral:rRNA from 1 species
UAUUUGGUCGUAGACCCGAAACCAGGUGAUCUACCCUUGGUCAGGUUGAAGUUCAGGUAACACUGAAUGGAGGACCGAACCGACUUACGUUGAAAAGUGAGCGGAUGAACUGAGGGUAGCGGAGAAAUUCCAAUCGAACCUGGAGAUAGCUGGUUCUCUCCGAAAUAGCUUUAGGGCUAGCCUCAAGUGAUGAUUAUUGGAGG